ACCAGACUCCUACGGGAGGCAGCAGUGGGGGAUAUUGCACAAUGGGGGAAACCCUGAUGCAGCGACGCCGCGUGGGUGAAGAAGUAUUUCGGUAUGUAAAGCCCUAUCAGCAGGGAAGAAAGAAGACGGUACCUGACUAAGAAGCCCCGGCUAACUACGUGCCAGCAGCCGCGGUAAUACGUAGGGGGCGAGCGUUAUCCGGAUUCACUGGGUGUAAAGGGAGCGUAGACGGCCGUGCAAGCCAGGAGUGAAAGCCCGGGGCCCAACCCCGGGACUGCUCUUGGAACUGUGCGGCUGGAGUGCGGGAGGGGCAGGCGGAAUUCCUGGUGUAGCGGUGAAAUGCGUAGAUAUCAGGAGGAACACCGGUGGCGAAGGCGGCCUGCUGGACUGCAACUGACGUUGAGGCCCGAAAGCGUGGGGAGCAAACAGGAUUAGAUACCCUAGUAUA
rnacentral:rRNA from 1 species